GUGACCUCGAAUCAGUAGAAUUCCCCAUUCG
rnacentral:rRNA from 1 species